rnacentral:rRNA from 1 species
ACGCACGCUGGCGGCGUGCUUCACACCUGCAAGUCGAACGGAAAGGCCCUGCUUUUGUGGGGUGCUCGAGUGGCGAACGGGUGAGUAACACGUGAGUAACCUGCCCUUGACUUUGGGAUAACUUCAGGAAACUGGGGCUAAUACCGGAUAGGAGCUCCUGCUGCAUGGUGGGGGUUGGAAAGUUUCGGCGGUUGGGGAUGGACUCGCGGCCUAUCAGCUUGUUGGUGGGGUAGUGGCUUACCAAGGCUUUGACGGGUAGCCGGCCUGAGAGGGUGACCGGCCACAUUGGGACUGAGAUACGGCCCAGACUCCUACGGGAGGCAGCAGUGGGGAAUAUUGCACAAUGGGCGGAAGCCUGAUGCAGCAACGCCGCGUGCGGGAUGACGGCCUUCGGGUUGUAAACCGCUUUCGCCUGUGACGAAGCGUGAGUGACGGUAAUGGGUAAAGAAGCACCGGCUAACUACGUG